GGAGUAGCCAUUCUUUUAUUCGAAUACUUUACUCUCCUAACAAACUUGCUUUCAUUUUACUCUACAGACUCACCCUGAAUUCUUUCUUGCACUUGCUCUAAGAACCCUCUCUUGGGGUCUGGAUCCGGACCGCUUUCUGCUAACACUUCUACAUACCACGUUUAUUUGAGACAGAAAAAUACAGCAAGGACAUCCAUCUAAACUUUGUCUGGAGUCUGGGCCCAGGGGAGCUGCAGUACAUGGAGGGUCUCUGGAAGUGGGUAUGGCAGAUUAGCGCCUAAGCUCAACUGGCUUUCCUCCUCUGCCUCUGUUCCUGGGACUUGCUCACGGCUCACAAGCAUUUCCCAGGGGAGUAAAAGGAAGGAUCAAAGCUACAAUGGGCUUGGCUGCCCUUCUCCAGGAAUGGCCAGAGGACAACUUCUGCUUGGAAAGUUCCUGGAUACUUCUGGAACAGAAUUCUCCUGGGGUGAGUGGUUCACACAACUGACCCACUUCAUCCCCACUCAGCAAAAUGAGAGCGCCGUUGACUGACAACAAAAUGCUGAACUGGAAACCUCCGCAGUAAAACGUGAUGCAGAACAGAGAAAGAACUAAGAUGUUCUGCACAGACGGUAUCAUGCCCUCUAUGAGGAAACUACUCGAGCAUAUCUGUGUUUCAAAUGAUGUCUUUGAACUAUUUAUGUUAAAUGCCCCCCCAAAAAAAUGGAAAGGCUUCUUCGUAGAGGAAAGAGCUUGAAGUUGCUAGGCUGUUCUGCCUUCAACAGGCAUUUAUUGUGCAGCUACAAAAUGCUGCACCAAGCACUGGGCAGUGGAAAGGUGAUUCAGACACAGUUCCUUUGACAAAACCUCAAAAUCCCAUGUGAAGUUCUCUUUUAUAAAGUAAAUCAGAAAAGAUUCAAAAGUUGAGGUACCAAAAAAAAAUAAUAUAAAUGCAAGUAGUAAAGCGCUAUUGACUGUAAAUAGAAGCACUUAAUAAGUGGUUGUUGUUUCUGUUCUUCUCUCUAAUAAGUGUAUACAGGUGGCUAAAUGCUUUUGUUGAGCUAUGAGUACCUCAUUCUGUGGAGUGACUCAGAAAGUCUCUAGGUGUUAGACUGGAAACAGGUGAUGUUCAGUGCACGCAAUGCUUGAAGUGUUCCCAGGUAUUUAGUUUCAGGUAAAUUUUACUGUUUAAAAAAAUUGUUUUUACUUGCUAUUAAGUGUGUUGACCUUGGAUAAUUUACUUAACCUCUCUAUGCCUUGCUUCCUUUUCUGCAAAAUGAGAGUAAGAAAAGUGCUUACCUCAUUGGCUUUUUGUGAAAUUCAAUGAGUUAACACGUGGGAGAAAAGAUGUUUUUAAAUAAUCAAUUCUUAGCAGUUGGUCAUUGUUAUGAGUUACAUCAUGCGUAGUUAAAUAUUUUUUAAAAAAUUAAAAUUUAUUUUCCUAUAGGAAAAAGGAGGGACUGAAUUGUGAAUCCAUUUUCUCUGCUUUCAGUUAUUUCUACUCCUGAGAAAAACCCUAAGCACUUAGGGUCUAGAACCACAUCCCGAGACGGUGAGCUCUUCCCACAUUUUCACAUGUGCCUGAAUCAUUUGUAGGUCUCGUUCAAGCAGAGAAUCUCCGGGAUUCUCACUCGGGAGGUCUGGGGUCGGGCCUGAGUCCUUGCAUUUCUAACAAACUCCCAGUUGAUGCUGGUGCCACUGGUUCUGAAUUAAGAUGCUUGUUUACCUAGUGACAGCAACAAAAAUUGUAGCAAUGGUAUCCAGAAAUAAACAGCAUACUUUUAUAGGGCUAGUCAAAUGAACCCAAACAUACAAAAUAAAGGCAAACCUCACAAUCUUCUUGCAAUGAUUUAUUACUCUGAGAGCUCAUUUUAGGUGAGAUUGUCUCCCUCCGGAGCCUGAUUCCUAAAAGCUUUCUAUGACUUUGAAAUUAUCGUUUUCCUUUUGGAGGUAGCACAAUAUAAGAGCUAAGAAGAGAAUGAGAACUGGAGUCCCUCCCAGGUUUGCCCCUCUAGGUAUGUAAGCUAAGGUAAACUACUUAGCCUUUCUUAAGCCUCAGUUUUCUCAUUACAAAUGGGCAUAUACGGAACAUUGGCUUGCCUCCUACAGUUGUUUGAGGACUCAAUGAAAAUGUACGUGAAGCUGGUUGCGGUGAGCUGAGAUUGUGCCACUGCACUCCAGCCUUGUGACACAGCGAGACUCCGUCUCAAAAAAAUAAAUAAAUAAAUAAAUAAAAAUAAAAGACUGG
rnacentral:lncRNA from 10 species